AACGAACGCUGGCGGCAGGCCUAACACAUGCAAGUCGAGCGCGCCUUCGGGUGAUCGGCGGACGGGUGAGUAACGCGUGGGAAUAUGCCCUUCUCUACGGAAUAGUACUGGGAGACUGGGGGUAAUACCGUAUACGCCCUUUGGGGGAAAGAUUUAUCGGGGAAGGAUUAGCCCGCGUUGGAUUAGGUAGUUGGUGGGGUAAUGGCCUACCAAGCCGACGAUCCAUAGCUGGUUUGAGAGGAUGAUCAGCCACACUGGGACUGAGACACGGCCCAGACUCCUACGGGAGGCAGCAGUGGGGAAUCUUAGACAAUGGGGGCAACCCUGAUCUAGCCAUGCCGCGUGAGUGAUGAAGGCCUUAGGGUUGUAAAGCUCUUUCAGCUGGGAAGAUAAUGACGGUACCAGCAGAAGAAGCCCCGGCUAACUCCGUG
rnacentral:rRNA from 1 species